CCUACGGGUGGCAGCAGUGGGGAAUAUUGCACAAUGGGGGAAACCCUGAUGCAGCAACGCCGCGUGAGUGAGGAAGUAUUUCGGUAUGUAAAGCUCUAUCAGCAGGGAAUAGAAAAGAAGGUACCUGAAAAAGAAGCCCCGGCGAACUACGUGCCAGCAGCCGCGGUAAUACGUAGGGGGCAAGCGUUAUCCGGAUUUACUGGGUGUAAAGGGAGCGUAGACGGCAAGGCAAGUCAGAAGUGAAAGCCCAAGGCUCAACCAUGGGACUGCUUUUGAAACUGUCAAACUGGAGUGUGUGAGAGGAUAGUGGAAUUCCAGGUGUAGGAGUGGAAUCCGUAGAUAUCUGGAGGAACAUCAGUGGCGAAGGCGACUAUCUGGCACAUAACUGACGCUGAGGAGCGAAAGCGUGGGUAGCAAACAGGAUUAGAUACCCCAGUAGUC
rnacentral:rRNA from 1 species